rnacentral:lncRNA from 1 species
UUUCCAUUCUAAAUAUGUACUUGAAAUUUUCAAAAAGUACAUAUAUUUUUAGAUAUUAAGUAUUUGACUAUUUUGACUUUUGAAUUGACUUUGCAUAUGAAUAGAAGUUUUAAAGUUUUGAUUUGAUAUACCUCCAUAUUAUAGAGAUCUAAGAAUUUAGUAGUGGACUUGAAAUCCUUCACAUAUUUUUUUAAUUUUAAAAUAUAUAUAUUUUUAUAUUUUUUUUACA